AUGGAGGCCGGUAGGCCUAAUCCUCGGUUCACGAAGAAUUUUUCAUCAAAUCUUGGGUUAUGAAAAUACCGGAGCAAAACCGAACGAGGUCCCCAUUUUCCCUGGAUUCACAUGUAAUAAUAAUAAUGUAUUGUAAUAAUUCACAUAGAUGAAACUGAAAUGUGUGUUUUACUUAUUUCAGCAUGCCACAGCAGAGGAGACCAAUGAAAAACAGUUCUUCAGGGCUGUUUCUGCAAAAGACAGUGCUAAAGGAGGCUGGAGACCUUUUGGAUGCAUCAUUACUUUUUUAGGUUAACUAUUGCAGGUACAUAACCAUAACCAAUCAAUGACAGUUUUUGUGCAUUGUAUAAGCACAGAUAUUCUGGAGAUCAUUGCUUAAAAAAUCUCUGUUGUGGACUCAUUUGUCACAACAACUUUGUAUUUGUGAGAUUUUUGUUUAUAUUCAGACAAUAAAGGCUAUUACGUAGUU